AAACCCGGUACGUCCGAUGUCCUAGAGUAGUAUGCGCAAACAAUGCAUUCCGUCGAUGACACUACGGAUUCUGUGUCGUCGUUUUCUCUGUACGCCAUUACUCGGACCGUUAUAUUUUCGUCUGGAACACACAUAAUUGCACAUGCACCGGCGAUUUACUUUGAAAAAAAAAUCCACGGCAGGAAAACUUAUGCACUAUACGUUUACCCUCAUCACGUCGACACUGAAAAUAAAAUAGCUGGUGCGGAUGAAAAAAUAUAUUUAUAGUAUACCUAAAAUAUAAGGGUGAAAACAGCAAGGAGUAUACUGGAGCCGUUUCAUAAACCACAGCACGCCGUUGCCUUGAAAACA